rnacentral:tRNA from 1 species
GUCCCCGUAGCUCAGCUGGAUAGAGCAAUCCCCUCCUAAGGGAUAGGUCGCAGGUUCAAAUCCUGCCGAGGACACCA